UACGGAGGGUGCAAGCGUUAAUCGGAAUUACUGGGCGUAAAGCGUGCGCAGGCGGUUUUUUAAGACAGGCGUGAAAUCCCCGGGCUUAACCUGGGAACUGCGCUUGUGACUGGAAGGCUAGAGUACGGCAGAGGGGGGUGGAAUUCCACGUGUAGCAGUGAAAUGCGUAGAGAUGUGGAGGAACACCGAUGGCGAAGGCAGCCCCCUGGGCCGAUACUGACGCUCAUGCACGAAAGCGUGGGGAGCAAACAGG
rnacentral:rRNA from 1 species